rnacentral:lncRNA from 1 species
GGUACUGGUGAUACUGGGAGCGCUGGGAGGUGACGUCAUCGUUAUACUGGGAGCGCUGGGAGAUGACGUCAUGGUGGUACUGGUCAUACUGGGAGCCGCCAUGUUGGUACUGGGAGCACUAGGAGCCGCCAUGUUGGUACUGGGAGCGGCCAUGUUGGUACUGGUGAUACUGGGAGCACUGGGAGAUGACGUCAUGGACAUACUGGACGUACUGGGAGCCGCCAUGUUGAUACUGGGAGUACUGGGAGAUGACGUCAUGGUCGUACUGGUCAAACUGGGAGCACUGGGAGCCGACGCCAUGUUGGUGCUGGUUAUACUGGUCAUACCGGGAGAUGACGUCAUGGUUGUACUGGUCAUACUGGGAACCGCCAUGUUGGUACUGGUCAUACUGGGAGCCGCCAUGCUGGUACUGGGAGCACUGGGAGAUGACGUCACAGGCGUACUGGUUAAACUGGUCAGACUGGGAGCCAUACUGGUCAAACUGGGAGCACUGGUCAAACUGGGAGCAGCCAUACUGGUCACACCGGUGGCCUUGGUGACACUGGCACUGGUAGCACUGGUGACACCGGUGACACUGGAACUGGUCAAACUGGUGACACUGGAACUGGUGACACUGGGAGCCGUUGCCAUGGUGACACUGGUCAUACUGGUGGCACUGGCAGUGGCCUUGGUGACACCAGGGGUGACGGUGACACCAGCAGCGCUCAUACUGGUGGCACUGGAACCGGUGACAUUGCUCAUACUGGUGACACUGGAACCGAUGACAUUGCUCAAACUGGUGGCACUGGUGGCACUGGUGACACUGGGAGCGGUGACGUUGCUCAAACUGGCGGCACUGGUAGCACUGGAACUGGUGACAAUGGUGACACUGGGAGCCGUUGCCAUGGUGNCAACAAAAUGGGCGUGUCCUUAUCAGGUGGGUGGAGCCUAGUUCUAGAAAAAUAAUUUAUAACAUUUGCAUUAAGGGGCGGGGCUUCACCAAUGGGCGUGGCCUAUGUUAGGAAGCGAAUUCCUCCAAUUUACACUACAGGGGGUGGAGUUACACCUAGUGGGCGUGUCCAGUGACAAAGUGGGUGUGUCCUUACCCGAUGGGCGUGGCCUAAUUUUCAAAACGAAAUUCCUUCAUUCUGAAUGGGGUGGGGCCUCAAGUAGUGGGCGGGGCCUAACUUUAGGAAAGGAAUUCUUCCUAUCCAGAUUAGGGGGUGGGGCUUAAUUAAGUGGGCGUGGCUUUAGUGAGGAAACUGAUUCCCCCUUAUCUGCAUAUGGGGGUGGGGCUUAACUUGGUGGGCGUGGCCUAUUAUGGGAAUGGAAUUCCUCCAAACUAUACAGGAGGGUGGGGCUUAACCCAGUGGGCGUGUCCACGGGCAGAGGGGGCGUGUCCUUACCCGGUGGGCGUGGCCUAAUUUUCCAAAAUGAAUUUCCUUCAAUCUGAAUGGGGUGGGGCCUCAAGUAGUGGGCGGGGCCUAGCUUUAGGAAAGGAAUUAAUCUAAUCCACAUGAGGGGGGUGGGGCUUAAUUAAGUGGGCGCGGCUUUAGUCAGGGAGGUGAUUCCCUCUUAUCUGCAUGUGAAGGCGGGGCUUAAUUUGGUGGGCGUGGCCUAAUACAGGAAUGGAAUUUUUUCAAACUGUACAGGAGGGUGGAGCUUAACCCAGUGGGCGUGUCCACGGGCAGAGGGGGCGUGUCCUUACCCGGUGGGCGGGGCCUAAUUUUCAAAACGAAUUUCCUUCAAUUAGAAUGGGGUGGGGCCUCAAGUAGUGGGCGGGGCCUAACUUUAGGAAAGGAAUUCUUCCUAUCCCGAUAAGGGGGUGGGGCUUAAUUAAGUGGGCGUGGCUUUAGUCAGGGAAGUGAUUCUCCCUUAUCUGCAUGUGGGAGUGGGGCUUAAUUUGGUGGGUGUGGCCUAAUACAGGAAUGAAAUUCCUUCAAACUAUACAG